rnacentral:rRNA from 1 species
GACGAACGCUGGCGGCGUGCUUAACACAUGCAAGUCGAACGGUAAGGCCCUUCGGGGUACACGAGUGGCGAACGGGUGAGUAACACGUGGGUGAUCUGCCCUGCACUUCGGGAUAAGCCUGGGAAACUGGGUCUAAUACCGGAUAGGACCACUGCCUGCAUGGGUGGUGGUGGAAAGCUUUUGCGGUGUGGGAUGGGCCCGCGGCCUAUCAGCUUGUUGGUGGGGUGAUGGCCUACCAAGGCGACGACGGGUAGCCGGCCUGUGAGGGUGACCGGGCACACUGGGACUGAGAUACGCCCAGACUCCGACGGGAGGCAGCAGUGGGGAAUAUUGCACAAUGGGCGCAAGCCUGAUGCGGCGACGCCGCGUGAGGGAUGACGGCCUUCGGGUUGUAAACCUCUUUCAGCUAUGACGAAGCGCAAGUGACGGUAGUAGCAGAAGAAGGACCGGCCAACUACGUGCCAGCAGCCGCGGUAA